UAGUUCAGUUGGCAGAGCAUGGUGUUUGCAACGCCAGGGUUGUGGGUUCGAUUCCCAC
rnacentral:tRNA from 1 species